AUGGAUGGAUGGACUUAUGGAACAUCCAUCUGCUUACCAGGACUGAUUUUAUUUUUUUGGUGUGAACUGCAGGUAACAAUCCCUAGAAAAGUGCCACCUACUCAAGGCCAUAGGUCAAAAGUGGUAGCCCUUCAUAGGUGUGGCCCUGUAAGGGAUCAUGGCUAUUGGAGUUGCAGAAAAAAUACUGUGGAUUUGACCUCGGUGUCCUAGGUAUGGGUAUGCAUGUGCAAUAGGAGUGUUAAACACCUCCAGCAAACGACUCCAGUGUUUCUGGCUUCAGGUUGCUCUGCACUGCCUCCCUUCAAUAAACACAAACCCGGACAACAACUAUCCUCUCGCUGGGGCCCCAGGUUCAGCCUCUUCUCUCAUAGUCAAGCACAUAGCAUAAUUUAUAAUCCAAUGUGCAGAACACUCCAGGUCCCAGAGGCAGUAUUAUUAACAGCUGAAAAAGGAAAGGUUGUAUUCCUCCAAGCAGCAUUCCCCUGCACUGACUCAGAGCAGCCAGAAGGCCCACGAAGGCUGGAACAUAGAGGAAACAAAGAGACAUCCCCUGGAAGAGCAUCAGUCAUCACUUAGGGAGCGAGAGACGCGGGGCCUUGUAAGGACUGCUGGUGGCAAAGGACGCCCAAUAAUACCGCACAGAUCAGAGCACGACACACCCAGGACAGCACUAAGCGAUGGCCUUGGUAACGCAGCUAUUCACAGGCAGCUGAAACAAGGCAAGAAUCAAGCAUCAGGCAAGAACAGGCUGGAGAUUUUCAGCAACCGAAAGAGUUGCGACUAAAAGCACAGUCAAUUCGUUUCUGGGAACAGUGGUAACAAAAUAGCAUUUUGCCGUCCUGCAUUAAAUGUGGUGAGGUUUGUCUGGGAGAACUCCAGACUCUGCUUGUUGCUUCACAUCAUUUAGUGAAUUCUGGAUGUGUGACGCCUUUUUUUAUUACGCGCAGGCUAAUAAAACAUUCCACCGUGGGCGGCGCCGAACGACGUGGAAAUCCUGUUCACCAUGAGGCCAGUUCCUUCCAAUUCAGCUCACCCCCCCCCCCCCGACUGAUUCUCUUCAGAAAGCCCUCGUAUUGAAAACAGCUGUGCGUCCUGGCUGCAUUAUCCCUGUCUCGUAAGGUUGGGCCCGCCAAGCAGUGCCCAGGGGAGGAACACAUCUGGAAAAGAAAACGUGGAGGCAGAGAGCCCGGCAACGGGUUACUGGACUGCUGUGAAUAUGUCUGUCAUUUCGGGGCUAUGAACCAGCAAAUUUCGCCACAGAGGACAUGCAUUGCUUUAAAGCAGAGAGGACUAUGAGCAUCUGGUUUGUCUUCAGACAUUUUGUGAAGUAUUGUUUGGAAAUCGGCACCUUGCGUCUCGUAAUCUGCCAUUUGCAUGUGGCUGUGUGCUGUCUGCAUGUGCGAUACAGCUGUUAAAGUCCUGCCCUGUAUCAUUUAAG